rnacentral:rRNA from 1 species
AAUACCGCAUACGUCCUACGGGAGAAAGCAGGGGACCUUCGGGCCUUGCGCUAUCAGAUGAGCCUAGGUCGGAUUAGCUAGUUGGUGAGGUAAUGGCUCACCAAGGCGACGAUCCGUAACUGGUCUGAGAGGAUGAUCAGUCACACUGGAAGGGAGACACGGUCCAGACUCCUACGGGAGGCAGCAGUGGGGAAUAUUGGACAAUGGGCGAAAGCCUGAUCCAAAAGGGCCGCGUGUGUGAAGAAGGUCUUCGGA